UUUUUUUUUUUUUUUUAUUUUCCCGCAGAUGACGCUGGCGGCGUGCCUAAUACAUGCAAGUCGAACGAACUUCCGUUAAUUGAUUAUGACGUACUUGUACUGAUUGAGAUUUUAACACGAAGUGAGUGGCGAACGGGUGAGUAACACGUGGGUAACCUGCCCAGAAGUAGGGGAUAACACCUGGAAACAGAUGCUAAUACCGUAUAACAGAGAAAACCGCAUGGUUUUCUUUUAAAAGAUGGCUCUGCUAUCACUUCUGGAUGGACCCGCGGCGUAUUAGCUAGUUGGUGAGGUAAAGGCUCACCAAGGCAGUGAUACGUAGCCGACCUGAGAGGGUAAUCGGCCACAUUGGGACUGAGACACGGCCCAGACUCCUACGGGAGGCAGCAGUAGGGAAUCUUCCACAAUGGACGCAAGUCUGAUGGAGCAACGCCGCGUGAGUGAAGAAGGGUUUCGGCUCGUAAAGCUCUGUUGUUAAAGAAGAACGUGGGUAAGAGUAACUGUUUACCCAGUGACGGUAUUUAACCAGAAAGCCACGGCUAACUACGUGCCAGCAGCCGCGGUAAUACGUAGGUGGCAAGCGUUAUCCGGAUUUAUUGGGCGUAAAGCGAGCGCAGGCGGUCUUUUAAGUCUAAUGUGAAAGCCUUCGGCUCAACCGAAGAAGUGCAUUGGAAACUGGGAGACUUGAGUGCAGAAGAGGACAGUGGAACUCCAUGUGUAGCGGUGAAAUGCGUAGAUAUAUGGAAGAACACCAGUGGCGAAGGCGGCUGUCUGGUCUGCAACUGACGCUGAGGCUCGAAAGCAUGGGUAGCGAACAGGAUUAGAUACCCUGGUAGUCCAUGCCGUAAACGAUGAUUACUAAGUGUUGGAGGGUUUCCGCCCUUCAGUGCUGCAGCUAACGCAUUAAGUAAUCCGC
rnacentral:rRNA from 1 species